GAUGAACGCUGGCGGCGUGCCUAAUACAUGCAAGUCGAGCGAACGGACGAGAAGCUUGCUUCUCUGAUGUUAGCGGCGGACGGGUGAGUAACACGUGGAUAACCUACCUAUAAGACUGGGAUAACUUCGGGAAACCGGAGCUAAUACCGGAUGAUAUUUUGAACCGCAUGGUUCAAAAGUGAAAGACGGUCUUGCUGUCACUUAUAGAUGGAUCCGCGCUGCAUUAGCUAGUUGGUAAGGUAACGGCUUACCAAGGCAACGAUGCAUAGCCGACCUGAGAGGGUGAUCGGCCACACUGGAACUGAGACACGGUCCAGACUCCUACGGGAGGCAGCAGUAGGGAAUCUUCCACAAUGGGCGAAAGCCUGACGGAGCAACGCCGCGUGAGUGAUGAAGGUCUUCGGAUCGUAAAACUCUGUUAUUAGGGAAGAACAUAUGUGUAAGUAACUGUGCACAUCUUGACGGUACCUAAUCAGAAAGCCACGGAUAACUACGUG
rnacentral:rRNA from 1 species